rnacentral:rRNA from 1 species
AAUCAACGCUGGCGGCGUGCCUAACACAUGCAAGUCGAACGCGAAAGUCCCGCAAGGGAUGAGUAGCGUGGCGAACGGGUGAGUAACGCGUGGGUGACCUGCCGUCGAGUGGGGGAUAACGUCUCGAAAGGGACGCUAAUACCGCAUGACAUCCGGCCUUUGGAGAGGCGGAGAUCAAAGCUGGGGAUCGCAAGACCUGGCGCUCGACGAGGGGCCCGCGUCCGAUUAGCUGGUUGGUGGGGUAAUGGCCUACCAAGGCGACGAUCGGUAGCCGGCCUAAGAGGGCGGACGGCCACACUGGGACUGAGACACGGCCCAGACUCCUACGGGAGGCAGCAGUGGGGAAUUGUUCGCAAUGGGCGCAAGCCUGACGACGCAACGCCGCGUGGAGGACGAAGGC